CUCGAAAUGUAGCCUUUCGCACACAGAGCUGCAUCUUGUCUGAGCCUCAUUUUUAAGAUGUGAGAAUAACUUUAUUAGCCGCUGAGCUGGAUUUAGGGUGGGGCAGCGUUGACACAGCGGAGCGAGACGGCGAGGCGAGGGCCCGGAGCGGGCGGGGUGCAGGGAAGCCUGGCCACAGUGCUUGUUUGACGAGAGAUUACGGUGACGGAUUGGACAAACACCUCGUACGUGAUGGAGCACAGAUGGAGCGUCCGCUGCAAGGGCACACCUGGCGGCAGUUUGCUCAGUGUGCGGCUGGGGCCCCUCACUCCUCUCCCGUUGUUUUAUUUACCUCCGGCAGGUGCCAGGAAUCGGGGACCAUAAGCCAGAGAAUUCUGCUGGCCUCGUGCCACAUCCCGCUUCUUGCCUCCUCCUGUUUUUUCCUCUUUAUGAUUUUGCCUGGGUCAAACCUCCUCUGAGUGGUCCGAAACUGCCCGGCUGGCUCUGCCUUCCCAUUCAUCAGCCCACCAGCCCAGUGUCUCCAACUGGGAAAUCAACACUCGCUCCCAGUGGGUAUGCUGGAGCAGAGGUACUUGCACCCCAGCAAAGGUGAUCAGUGUUUGGGGAGGUAUGCUAUGUGGAGGGGGGAGUGGGGCUGCUGUGUAGGGGGUGGAAUCACCUAGGAAUGUUGCACUGAAAACUGAAAACAAAGGCCCAAUGAGUGUGAGUAUGAAUGUCCAAUCAGCAACUAGCAAGACAUAUUUACUUCUCCUUAUGACAAUGUUCCAUGUUCUUUUCACCACAGCUAUCAGCUUGCAACUUUUUCCAUUGCCACCACCAAUGCU